ACACAGGAAACACACGGAAAAAGCCAGAGCACGCAAAGAAGCAAAACCAGCAAGGAACAACAUCAACUCGAAGCCGCACUUCCAGAACCGGACACACACACACAAGAUCGCAAGCCAGCACCAUAACAGAACCGGAUCCGCGAAAGAAACAAAGAGGUAGUACUUUCUUUACCUUUAGAUCUAGGCCUCUGUGUGUACGUUUUCGAAAAUCUAGGUUUAGAACUGAAUAGAGGGGAG
rnacentral:lncRNA from 1 species